rnacentral:rRNA from 1 species
UACGAAGGGGGCUAGCGUUGUUCGGAAUCACUGGGCGUAAAGCGUACGUAGGCGGACCGUUAAGUCGGGGGUGAAAUCCUGGAGCUCAACCUCAGAACUGCCUUCGAUACUGGCGGUCUCGAGUCCGGGAGAGGUGAGUGGAACUCCUAGUGUAGAGGUGAAAUACGUAGAUAUUAGGAAGAACACCAGUGGCGAAGGCGGCUCACUGGCCUGGUACUGAAGCUGAGUUACGAAAGCUUUGGGAGCAAACAGG